rnacentral:rRNA from 1 species
UGGGGAAUCUUGCGCAAUGGGCGAAAGCCUGACGCAGCGACGCCGCGUGGGGGAAGAAGGCCUUCGGGUUGUAAACCUCUUUCAGGCGGGACGAAGCCACUCGGGUUAAUAGCCCAGAGGGUGACGGUACCGUCAGAAGAAGCCCCGGCUAACUACGUGCCAGCAGCCGCGGUAAUACGUAGGGGGCAAGCGUUGUCCGGAUUUAUUGGGCGUAAAGAGCGUGUAGGCGGCCAGGUAGGUCGGUUGUGAAAACUAGAGGCUUAACCUCUAGACGUCGACCGAAACCAUCUGGCUAGAGUCCGGAAGAGGAGAGUGGAAUUCCUGGUGUAGCGGUGAAAUGCGCAGAUAUCAGGAAGAACACCCGUGGCGAAAGCGGCUCUCUGGGACGGUACUGACGCUGAGACGCGAAAGCGUGGGGAGCGAACAGGAUUAGAUACCCCCGUAGUCC